rnacentral:rRNA from 1 species
GAUGAACGCUGGCGGCGUGCCUAAUACAUGCAAGUCGAGCGAACAGAUAAGGAGCUUGCUCCUUUGACGUUAGCGGCGGACGGGUGAGUAACACGUGGGUAACCUACCUAUAAGACUGGAAUAACUCCGGGAAACCGGGGCUAAUGCCGGAUAACAUUUAGAACCGCAUGGUUCUAAAGUGAAAGAUGGUUUUGCUAUCACUUAUAGAUGGACCCGCGCCGUAUUAGCUAGUUGGUAAGGUAACGGCUUACCAAGGCAACGAUACGUAGCCGACCUGAGAGGGUGAUCGGCCACACUGGAACUGAGACACGGUCCAGACUCCUACGGGAGGCAGCAGUAGGGAAUCUUCCGCAAUGGGCGAAAGCCUGACGGAGCAACGCCGCGUGAGUGAUGAAGGUCUUCGGAUCGUAAAACUCUGUUAUUAGGGAAGAACAAAUGUGUAAGUAACUGUGCACGUCUUGACGGGACCUAAGCAGAAAGCCACGGCUAACUACGU